rnacentral:rRNA from 1 species
UGGGUGUAAAGCGCGUGCAGGCGUUCGAGUAAGUCGAGCGUGAAAGCUCCCGGCUCAACCGGGAGAGGACGUGCGAAACUGCUGGGCUGGAGGCAGGUAGAGGCGUGUGGAAUUCCGGGUGUAGUGGUGAAAUGCGUAGAUAUCCGGAGGAACACCAGUGGCGAAGGCGACACGCUGGGCCUGACCUGACGCUAAGACGCGAAAGCAUGGGUAGCGAACGGGAUUAGAAACCCCGGUAGUCCAUGCCGUAAACGAUGCAGACUAGGUGUUGAGCGUGUGAAAGCGAGCAGUGCCGAAGCAAACGUGAUAAGUCUGCCACCUGGGGACUACGGCCGCAAGGCUAAAACUCAAAGGAAUUGACGGGGGCCCGCACAAGCAGCGGAGCGUGUGGUUUAAUUCGAGGCUACACGAAGAACCUUACCUGGGCUUGACAUGACGGUUGUAGGGAAUCGAAAGAGGACCGACCCUUCGGGGAGCCGCCACAGGUGCUGCAUGGCUGUCGUCAGCUCGUGUCGUGAGAUGUUCGGUUAAGUCCGGUAACGAGCGCAACCCUCGCCGUUAGUUACAAGUGUCUAGCGGGACUGCCCGUAGAAAGCGGGAGGAAGGUGGGGAUGACGUCAAGUCAGCAUGGCCUUUAUGUCCAGGGCUACACACACGCUACAAUGGCCGGUACAAUGGGUCGCCAACCCGCGAGGGGGAGCUAAUCCACCAAAGCCGGUCUCAGUUCGGAUUGUAGGCUGCAACUCGCCUGCAUGAAGUCGGAGUUACUAGUAACCGCAGGUCAGCUAUACUGCGGUGAAUACGUUCCCGGGCCUUGUACACACCGCCCGUCACGUCACGGAAGCUGGUCAUGCCUGAAGUCGGUGGGCUAACCUCACGGAGCAGCCGCCUAGGGCAGGGCUGGUAACUGGGACGAAGUCG